rnacentral:rRNA from 1 species
GCUAUACAUGCAAGUCGGACGCACUUUCGUUGAAUGAUUUAGAGAUGCUUGCAUCGAAGAUGAUUUUAACUAUAAAGUGAGUGGCGAACGGGUGAGUAACACGUGGGUAACCUGCCCAGAAGUGGGGGAUAACACCUGGAAACAGAUGCUAAUACCGCAUAAUAAAGUAAACCGCAUGGUUUUCUUUUAAAAGAUGGCUUCGGCUAUCACUUCUGGAUGGACCCGCGGCGUAUUAGCUAGUUGGUGAGAUAAAGGCCCACCAAGGCUGUGAUACGUAGCCGACCUGAGAGGGUAAUCGGCCACAUUGGGACUGAGACACGGCCCAGACUCCUACGGGAGGCAGCAGUAGGGAAUCUUCCACAAUGGACGAAAGUCUGAUGGAGCAACGCCGCGUGAGUGAUGAAGGCUUUAGGGUCGUAAAACUCUGUUGUUGGAGAAGAACGUGUGUGAGAGUAACUGCUCAUGCAGUGACGGUAUCCAACCAGAAAGCCACGGCUAACUACGUGCCAGCAGCCGCGGUAAUACGUAGGUGGCAAGCGUUAUCCGGAUUUAUUGGGCGUAAAGCGAGCGCAGGCGGUUUCUUAAGUCUAAUGUGAAAGCCUUCGGCUUAACCGAAGAAGUGCAUUGGAAACUGGGAAGCUUGAGUGCAGAAGAGGACAGUGGAACUCCAUGUGUAGCGGUGAAAUGCGUAGAUAUAUGGAAGAACACCAGUGGCGAA